rnacentral:tRNA from 1 species
GACCUUGUGGCGCAACGGUAGCGCUUCUGACUCCAGAUCAGAAGGUUGCAUGUUCAAAUCAUGUCAGAGUCA